rnacentral:rRNA from 1 species
UACGUAGGGUGCGAGCGUUAAUCGGAAUUACUGGGCGUAAAGCGUGCGUAGGCGGUUUGCCGUGUCCUGUGUGAAAGCCCCGGGCUCAACCUGGGAAUUGCAUGGGAAACUGGCAGGCUUGAGUGUGGCAGAGGAGGGUGGAAUUCCGCGUGUAGCAGUGAAAUGCGUAGAGAUGCGGAGGAACACCGAUGGCGAAGGCAGCCCUCUGGGCAUUAACUGACGCUGAGGAGCGAAAGCAUGGGGAGCGAACAGG